UUCCGUUUAACACCAUUUCGAAUAUUAAUAUCGUUCCACUAAUCGAUUCCUGUAAUUUUACUGCGUGUGCAUUUUAUCGACUUACACGUCGAUUUUGAACGUCGAAUCGAGAUGUUAUGCUUCCUAUGAUCACUGAAACAACUUUUUAAGCGGGAAGAAUGUAAUCAACCACAUAAAUUCACAACAAUUCACUAUCGAAGUUACGCAACUAUAAACGAUUGUACGAUGUAUCGGAUUUAAUGAGGUUAAGGCAUACUGCACAAGUUUGGGGACAACAAGAAGAAUAGGAAAAGGAAGAAGAGCGAAAGAAAGAAAAGAAGAAGAGGGAAGGGGACGCCUAUCGUUCUCACCGAAAGCUAACCUCCCACCGACUGGAAAUCAUGAACGUACGCACGCACGCAUUUAUAGAGACCUUGUGCUCCUGCUCCGGCUCGGGUUCGUAUCCAAACUCGUGUUCCGGUCGAGAGCCGCUCGUUUAUCUUCAACAGCUUUUCGUUCCCUCUCUCUGCUACCCGGAUAAUUAGCCCCAAGAUGUAUGCUCGUUUUUACGCACGAAUUUCCGUUUAAAAAUGAUCGAUAUCAUCUUAAGUUUGUAUAGCUUCUGUUUGCGCGAGACUUUUUAUUCAUCGCCACCGUUAAUAAACCGAGGCUAUCAAUUAUGAUCUUUUAAAAACUCUGUAUUAUAUUGCUGUCAUAACGGUUAAAAUUUUGAUGUUAUUAUAUGAGAAAUUCUUAUGGUUAUAUAACAUGGUUAUGAUUCGCUAAUAUCGUUGUUCUUUUAAAAUUUGAUUUUCUUGUAAUUUUAACAUCUUUAUCUUGGAAUUGGUGUUUAGGAGUGUUUUUAGUUGUUAAAAGUUUAGCGUUAAGUGAUUUAGUAUCAAUUAAUGUUCCAGUGUUUUGAUACCAUAAUAUUGUAUUAUUUUGUUAUUACUAUUAUUAUUAUUAUUGUUGUUGUUGUUAUUAUUAUUAUUAUUAUAUGAAAUUUAGUAAUUUUGCAUAUCAUACGCAUUUUAUGCAAUCUUGCAUCUUCAACUGAACGAGUACCAAUCAAGUCAUAUAUAAAUGUAAAAAAUAUAACAAGUUAAUCAAGUUAUUUAUUUUGUAUUUUAUAUUUCAUAUUUUAUAUAGGGGAGAUUAUUAACUGUAGCUCUUAUUUUAUCGUUCGGAUGUAAAAUAUGAAAUAAAAUUAAAUAACUCAACGUUUUACUUUAAUCUGACUCACAUAAUGAUAUCAUAUAAGGACGAACACGUAAAAAUAUGAUACGAAGUGGCAAGAAAUGCAACUAAAAGAGAAAGACUAAUCCGCGAAAGCGUGAAGUCAUGCGGAAAUUUCAGAAUGCGUUAUAUGCAGAGAUAACGUAGUCUACUUCGUUUUGAACGCGUGUCUGUCGACAAUCUGUAACAAAUGAAAAUAGAUCUUACUUUUACUACGA